GCAUCGGUGGUUCAGUGGUAGAAUGCUAGCCUGCCACGCUGGCGGCCCGGGUUCGAUUCCCGGCCGAUGCA
rfam:Glossina fuscipes fuscipes unplaced genomic scaffold Scaffold135, whole genome shotgun sequence.